GUUAAAAUGGCGAAGAAGAAUAACAAACUUCUGCUACCUUGAAGUUGACGAGAAACUGAAGGAUCUGACCAUGCUGACAGCAACAUUUGUCAACAUGCAGAGGAUUUUUUUGGACCCCAAUACAUUAAAAGACAAGUGUCCUGAUCCAGAUGUAAAUGGUUAUGCAGUUUUUCCAAGAAAGCAGGAACAAUGGAGCAGAACUGAAAACUCAUUUCAAUAAAACCAUGAUCUGACUGAUCAAGUGAAAGAUGAUACCAGUUGUGAAAGUUGUCAAAACACUACAGCAAGCAAAGAGAGUAGUAAUCAUCAAUUCAUGUAACUCCUGUUAAUAUUCAUCACAUCAAAAAGAAUGUUCAAUUUUGAAAUUUGAAAAAUAUUUGGCAGUUGGAAAUCUCAC